rnacentral:rRNA from 1 species
CCUUGCGCCGGCGAUGGUUCAUUCAAAUUUCUGCCCUAUCAACUUUCGAUGGUAGGAUAGUGGCCUACCAUGGUGGCAACGGGUAACGGGGAAUUAGGGUUCGAUUCCGGAGAGGGAGCCUGAGAAACGGCUACCACAUCCAAGGAAGGCAGCAGGCGCGCAAAUUACCCAAUCCCGACACGGGGAGGUAGUGACAAUAAAUACUGAUACGGGGCUCUUUUGGGUCUCGUAAUUGGAAUGAGUACAAUCUAAAUCCCUUAACGAGGAACAAUUGGAGGGCAAGUCUGGUGCCAGCAGCCGCGGUAAUUCCAGCUCCAAUAGCGUAUAUUAAAGUUGUUGCAGUUAAAAAGCUCGUAGUUGAACCUUGGGUCUGGCUGGCCGGUCCGCCUCACCGCGAGUACUGGUCCGGCUGGACCUUUCCUUCUGGGGAAUCUCAUGGCCUUCACUGGCUGUGGGGGGAACCAGGACUUUUACUGUGAAAAAAUUAGAGUGUUCAAAGCAGGCCUUUGCUCGAAUACAUUAGCAUGGAAUAAUAGAAUAGGACGUGCGGUUCUAUUUUGUUGGUUUCUAGGACCGCCGUAAUGAUUAAUAGGGAUAGUCGGGGGCGUCAGUAUUCAGCUGUCAGAGGUGAAAUUCUUGGAUUUGCUGAAGACUAACUACUGCGAAAGCAUUCGCCAAGGAUGUUUUCAUUAAUCAGGGAACGAAAGUUAGGGGAUCGAAGACGAUCAGAUACCGUCGUAGUCUUAACCAU